rnacentral:rRNA from 1 species
CCCCUUCGGGGUGAUUCUGGUGGAAUGAGCGGCGGACGGGUGAGUAACACGUGGGCAACCUGCCUGUAAGACUGGGAUAACUUCGGGAAACCGGAGCUAAUACCGGAUAGUAUUUCCUUUCUCCUGAUUGGAAAUGGAAAGACGGUUUCGGCUGUCACUUACAGAUGGGCCCGCGGUGCAUUAGCUAGUUGGUGGGGUAAUGGCCCACCAAGGCGACGAUGCAUAGCCGACCUGAGAGGGUGAUCGGCCACACUGGGACUGAGACACGGCCCAGACUCCUACGGGAGGCAGCAGUAGGGAAUCUUCCGCAAUGGACGAAAGUCUGACGGAGCAACGCCGCGUGAGCGAUGAAGGCCUUCGGGUCGUAAAGCUCUGUUGUUAGGGAAGAACAAGUACGAGAGUAACUGCUCGUACCUUGACGGUACCUAACCAGAAAGCCCCGGCUAACUACGUGCCAGCAGCCGCGGUAAUACGUAGGGGGCAAGCGUUGUCCGGAAUUAUUGGGCGUAAAGGGCUCGUAGGCGGUUUCUUAAGUCUGAUGUGAAAGCCCACAGCUCAACUGUGGAGGGUCAUUGGAAACUGGGGAACUUGAGUGCAGAAGAGGAGAGUGGAAUUCCACGUGUAGCGGUGAAAUGCGUAGAUAUGUGGAGGAACACCAGUGGCGAAGGCGACUCUCUGGUCUGUAACUGACGCUGAGGAGCGAAAGCGUGGGGAGCAAACAGGAUUAGAUACCCUGGUAGUCCACGCCGUAAACGAUGAGUGCUAGGUGUUAGGGGGUUUCCGCCCCUUAGUGCUGAAGUUAACGCAUUAAGCACUCCGCCU